rnacentral:misc_RNA from 1 species
UUAUGUAAAAGCAAGAGCAAUACCCUUUUUAUCUAUUCUGUAGUCUGCUGCACAUCAGUUUUGUUUUAUAUAUGUUCAGAUAUAAAACUUACGAAGCAGGACAUUGUAUGCAAACAGCAAUAAUAUAAAGUACUAAGUUAGUUCUUUUUUGUCAUUUAUAUAGUAUACUCAUAAGUAAGUAUAAUAAAACGGAAAUGGUCCUAUUGUAAACCUUUUAAUUCGGAUAUAUUCUCUUUAACAAAAUGUACUUUUUUAGAUUUGAGGUUGUAAGAUAAACAUACAUGUACAUGUAGAAGAAUAUCAUGAUAUGCUAUUUAGGCAAAAAGAAAUAUAAAGAUUGAUAUGCAAAUCCCUUAACAUUAUAAACCUGAGGUUUUUUUUUAUCAUAUUUUAUUUAGUCCCGUUGAUAUCAUAUUAUACAUGUAUAUUAUAUAUCCCUGUGUUCCUUAUAUAUACUAGAAAUGAUAUUAAAUACUGUUUGUGAAAUC